rnacentral:rRNA from 1 species
AUUGAACGCUGGCGGCAGGCCUAACACAUGCAAGUCGGACGGUAGCACAGAGGAGCUUGCUCCUCGGGUGACGAGUGGCGGACGGGUGAGUAAUGUCUGGGGAUCUGCCCGAUAGAGGGGGAUAACCACUGGAAACGGUGGCUAAUACCGCAUAGCGUCGCAAGACCAAAGAGGGGGACCUUCGGGCCUCUCACUAUCGGAUGAACCCAGAUGGGAUUAGCUAGUAGGCGGGGUAAUGGCCCACCUAGGCGACGAUCCCUAGCUGGUCUGAGAGGAUGACCAGCCACACUGGAACUGAGACACGGUCCAGACUCCUACGGGAGGCAGCAGUGGGGAAUAUUGCACAAUGGGCGCAAGCCUGAUGCAGCCAUGCCGCGUGUAUGAAGAAGGCCUUCGGGUUGUAAAGUACUUUCAGCGUGGAGGAAGGCGGUGAGGUUAAUAACCUUGCCGAUUGACGUUACCCGCAGAAGAAGCACCGGCUAACUCCGUGCCAGCCGCCGCCGUAA